UACAGAGGGCCCUAGCGUUGUUCGGAUUCACUGGGCGUAAAGGGUGCGUAGGUGGUCGGGUAAGUCUGAUGUGAAAUCUCCGAGCUUAACUCGGAAACUGCAUCGGAUACUAUUCGGCUCGAGGGUUGGAGGGGGGACUGGAAUGCUUGGUGUAGCAGUGAAAUGCGUAGAUAUCAAGCGGAACACCAGUGGCGAAGGCGAGUCCCUGGACAACUCCUGACACUGAGGCACGAAAGCUAGGGGAGCAAACAGG
rnacentral:rRNA from 1 species